UACAGAGGGUGCAAGCGUUGUUCGGAAUUAUUGGGCGUAAAGCGCGUGUAGGCGGCUUUGCAAGUCGGGUGUGAAAGCCCUCGGCUCAACCGAGGAAGUGCGCCCGAAACUGCAGGGCUAGAGUCCUGGAGAGGAAGGUGGAAUGCUUGGUGUAGAGGUGAAAUUCGUAGAUAUCAAGCGGAACACCGGUGGCGAAGGCGGCCUUCUGGACAGUGACUGACGCUGAGACGCGAAAGCGUGGGGAGCAAACAGG
rnacentral:rRNA from 1 species